AACCCCCCAACGUUUCGGCACCAACUGGCUGCCUUUAUGGUACCCUUGAUAAAGGCAGCCAGUUGGUGCCGAAACGUUGGGGGUU